UUGAACGCUGGCGGCAUGCUUUACACAUGCAAGUCGAACGGCAGCGCGGGCUUCGGCCUGGCGGCGAGUGGCGAACGGGUGAGUAAUGCAUCGGAACGUGCCCAGUAGUGGGGAUAGCCCGGCGAAAGCCGGAUUAAUACCGCAUACGACCUGAGGGUGAAAGCGGGGGACCGAAAGGCCUCGCGCUAUUGGAGCGGCCGAUGUCGGAUUAGCUAGUUGGUGGGGUAAAGGCUUACCAAGGCGACGAUCCGUAGCUGGUCUGAGAGGACGACCAGCCACACUGGGACUGAGACACGGCCCAGACUCCUACGAGAGGCAGCAGUGGGGAAUUUUGGACAAUGGGGGCAACCCUGAUCCAGCCAUGCCGCGUGCGGGAAGAAGGCCUUCGGGUUGUAAACCGCUUUUGUUCGGGAAGAAAUCCUCUGGGCUAAUACCCCGGGGGGAUGACGGUACCGGAAGAAUAAGCACCGGCUAACUACGUG
rnacentral:rRNA from 1 species